rnacentral:lncRNA from 1 species
CCGAGCGUGCYGCGCUGCCGGAGAAGGCGCUCCACGCUGUGCCGCGGCACGCUGUCCACGGAGAUCGUCCCUUGCAGCUACUGUCUGCUCUGCCCUUUUCUUCCUCCCCCRCUCGUCGCGCUCAGUGGCAGCGGGAACGAAAGAUCUGGUCCUUGGCUUCUUGCCCAUUUCUAAUACAUAGGCUACUACUGAAUUAAAAAAGAYACGCUUCUUCAACAGGCUUUCUUUGGUCAGGAAUACAAACAGUGACCACAGCACUAAUUCUUGAGCUGAACUACUCUCAGAACAUCUGCUUACAUUCAUCUGAGAGUCAGUGGGCAUCUGGCUGCAAGACUUGAUGGACUAGCUUCUAAAAAUUAGAAACAAAGCAGAGAGGACAAGAACAACACAGCCUUAAAGGAGCUCUCCUAAAUGAGAGCUUUCACCAUGGGAGACUGAAAAGCUCAGGGGAAUUGGUAAUGGGAAACUGGAGCCAUUCACCUCGAGGUUGCCAAUCUGAAUCUGAUCCAGGCUAGUAGUGGCUGAAAGUCUUCAGCCACUGACAGCUAUUCUGUGGCCUUUGUGAAACAGUUAGCAGUCUCAGCCUAACUCCUGAUGGAUAAAUACCCACAGCACAAAAGCCACCUUCAUAACUAGCAUUAAGUAGCUGCCUUGUUCACAGUCAUGGAGAGCCAAGGUGAGAGACAACACGGAGACUUCGUUCCCUUCCUGCCCUUAGGAUGAUUCCCCUGGACCAAAGAGGAGAUGCACUGGUGAAAAGGUGUGGGAGAGACUGCAUUGCUGGUAUG